AUGGGAAGACGGGACCGACCCUUUGGAGGAAAAACUAUUGUGUUUGGCGGGGACUUCAGGCAGGUGCUUCCGGUCGUCAGGAGGGGGUCCCGGGGUCACAUAAUCAAUGCAACCCUUCGAAGUUCACACCUCUGGAAGGGUAUACACCAGCUAAGGCUCGUCACCAACAUGAGGGCUCAUAAUGACACCUGGUUUGCGGAUUACUUGCUAAGGGUAGGCAAUGGCACCGAGGAAGUUGACGAUCAAGGAAACAUACGACUCCCUGAAGAUAUUUGUGUGCCGUCUACAGGCAAGGGUGACGACCUGGAUAUGCUGAUUGACCAUGUUUUUCCGAGACUAGAUGACAACAUGUCUGAUCCGAAUUACAUGACUUCACGCGCAAUCCUCUCCACCACGAACGACAACGUCGACAAGAUAAACAUAUGCAUGGUAGAG
rnacentral:rRNA from 1 species